CGCGGGAUUGGCACGGGGGGACGGGGCGCAGCACGCGCGAAAACUUUACAAUGCGGGAAACCGUGAUAAGGGGAUCUCGAGUGCCAGCAUAUAAUGUUGGCUGUCCAGAUGCCUAAAAAGCAUCUGUUAGCAAGGGCCGGGCAAGACCGGUGCCAGCCGCCGCGGUAACACCGGCGGCCCGAGUGGUAACCGCUAUUAUUGGGUCUAAAGGGUCUGUAGCCGGCCAGGUAAGUCCCUUGGGAAAUCUGGCAGCUCAACUGUCAGGCUGCUAGGGGAUACUGUUUGGCUUGGGACCGGGAGAGGUGAGAGGUACCUUGGGGGUAGGGGUGAAAUCUUGUGAUCCCCGGGGGACCACCAGUGGCGAAGGCGUCUCACCAGAACGGGUCCGACGGUAAGGGACGAAAGCUAGGGGCACGAACCGGAUUAGAUACCCGGGUAGUCCUAGCCGUAAACGAUGCUCGCUAGGUGUCAGUCACGGUGCGACCGUGAUUGGUGCCGUAGGGAAGCCGUGAAGCGAGCCACCUGGGAAGUAUGGCCGCAAGGCUGAAACUUAAAGGAAUUGGCGGGGGAGCACUACAACGGGUGGAGCCUGCGGUUUAAUUGGAUUCAACGCCGGAAAUCUCACCGGGGGCGACAGCGAUAUGAAGGUCAGGCUGAAGACCUUACCGGAUUAGCUGAGAGGUGGUGCAUGGCCGUCGUCAGUUCGUACUGUGAAGCAUCCUGUUAAGUCAGGCAACGAGCGAGACCCACGUCCACAGUUGCCAGCAUACCCUCUGGGGUGAUGGGUACACUGUGGAGACCGCCGCUGCUAAAGCGGAGGAAGGAGUGGGCAACGGUAGGUCAGUAUGCCCCGAAUCUCCCGGGCUACACGCGGGCUACAAUGGUUGGUACAAUGGGCAUCUACCCCGAAAGGGGAAGGUAAUCUCUUAAAGCCAAUCGUAGUUCGGAUUGAGGGCUGCAACUCGCCCUCAUGAAGCUGGAAUCCGUAGUAAUCGCGUUUCAACAGAACGCGGUGAAUACGUCCCUGCUCCUUGCACGAAUUCGCCGAAUCACUAGU
rnacentral:rRNA from 1 species